UACGGAGGGUGCAAGCGUUGUUCGGAAUCAUUGGGCGUAGAGCGCGUGUAGGCGGCUUGGCAAGUCAGUUGUGAAAGCCCGGGGCCCAACCCCGGAACUGCAUCUGAAACUGCCUGGCUCGAGUCCCGGAGAGGAAGGCAGAAUUCCCGGUGUAGGGGUGAAAUCCGUAGAUAUCGGGAGGAAUACCAGCGGCGAAGGCGGCCUUCUGGACGGUGACUGACGCUGAGACGCGAAAGCGUGGGGAGCAAACAGG
rnacentral:rRNA from 1 species